UUCCAAGAUGGACAUGGGCUUAGAGGGGAAAUUUUAGAAAAAAUCUUGAAAGGAAAAGUUUAAAUUGGGAAAUAAAGAUGCUAAAAUCACACAGCGUGGUUUGGUAGCUGUAGAGAAAAGACCUGCUUCAUCAUUUUCCUCGGAAAAACUUGCCAGAGCACAACUAACCCAGGGCGUAGCUGGACAACGUGAAAAUGACCAAGCUUCUUAACUCAGGCCCGUAUCGCAGAGCUGGGUGCUGAGGAUGGAGGGAACGAAUCCAGCGCUGGGUGAAACGUCCACUGACUCCGCCCUGUCGAGGCCCCUGACUACCAAGAAAUCCAGGAGCAGAACGGGUGUUCCUGGAUGAUGCCCAGCUCUCAUUCACAGGUGCUGCACAUUUCUCCACCAGGAAGAAAGACAAUGAGCUUUACCCAUGUGUUUUCACGUAUAAAGUCAAAUCAGGGUCCAGGGAGUAAAGUGAAAGAAAAACUUGGAGGGGCUGACUCAGUCCUCUGCUAGAUACUUCUUUCCGUAUUUUCAAAUGUAAGAAGGAGGCUACAGGAAAUGAAACAAGCAGUCUAAUGGAGAUUGAUCAGGUCCCUAAAUGCAGGCGCAGGUGGGCAGCUGGUCAGGAAGGGGCCUUGAGCCUCAGCUGCGGAAGAGGCUUGGUCUGGCGACUAAUAUUUAAUCAGCAUCUACUAUGGAUAGGACACUGUGAAGGGCGAUUUUCACACCUGAUCCAUCACAACCCUGCAAGAGUGGGGGCUGUCCGUUGGACCUGUGAGAAGAGGAUCUCCAUGAAGACCUGUUGGAGAACCUCCACAAAGGGCAUUUACCCUCUGCCUCCUUCCCCAGCUUAGAUCUCAGAAGUUGCCCAUAUUUCCUUCUCUCCUCAUUUGCUUCAUAUGAAAUCUGGAGCCUGUUUUCAUUAUUUUCAUUCCCAGUCUGAACACUUCUUCCAUCCCAAACCCCUACUUCUGUUCCACCGUUAUGAAAACACCUGUCUUCCACAAUCUGGUCUUCUAACAAGUUGUGUUGGGAAAAGGCAGUGCCCGCUGACCUCGGUGCAAAUUAAAACGUUUCAAAGAGUCCGAGUCUUAGAGUUGUCAGACCUCCGUCUCCAUGAGGAGGAACUCAAUUUUCACUCAUACCCCAGCAAGAGAUUAGCAGCUUGAAAUCACUUUGACAGUGUCGGUUGCUCUAUCGCAUACCACAGGGAAUUUUAAUUCCAGCCUGUGAAAUUGUAAUUGCUUUUCGAGGAGAAGUGAGGAAUCCUGGGCAAUGGCCACAGCCAAGCUCAGUGUCAGAGUUGCCAGUUGCUGCCACAUCAGAUAUUACUUGCUGUUAUUCAAAAAUCACUCCAGGUUUCCAUAUGGGAAGUUGCACUGGGGAGUGAAAGAAAAUUAACAGAAACUGUCAGCUGUUCAGAACGGCACAGACAGCAGUGUGACAGAGGUGGGUGACCUCCCAUCAAAAAAAGGUAACUUUUUCCCUUUUUGGGGUGAAGAU
rnacentral:lncRNA from 1 species